rnacentral:rRNA from 1 species
AACGAACGUUGAUGGCGUGCCUCAUACAUGCAAGUCGAGCGCCCUUUCCGCAAGGUUAGGGGAGCGGCGAACGGGUGAGUAACACGUAAGGAAUCUGCCCUGAAGCGGGGAAUAACUAUCCAACGGAUAGCUAAUACCGCAUAAUGAUGGAGACGGCAUCGUCUCUUCUCAAAAGGCUUCGGCCACUUCAGGAUGACCUUGCGCCCCAUUAGCUCGUUGGCGGUGUAACGGACCACCAAGGCUACGAUGGGUAUCCGGCCUGAGAGGGUGUACGGACACAUUGGGACUGAGAUACGGCCCAGACUCCUACGGGAGGCAGGCAGUAGGGAAUUUUGCGCAAUGGGGGAAACCCUGACGCAGCAACGCCGCGUGAGGGAUGACGGCC